rnacentral:rRNA from 1 species
CUACGGGUCGCUGCAGCAAGGAAUAUUGUCCAAUGGGGGAAACCCUGAGACAGCAACGCCGCGUGAAGGAAGAAGGCCUUCGGGUUGUAAACUUCUGUUUUAGAGGAAGAAAAAAAUGACGGUACUCUUAGAGGAAGCCCCGGCAAACUACGUGCCAGCAGCCGCGGUAACACGUAGGGGGCGAGCGUUGUCCGGAAUCACUGGGCGUAAAGGGCGCGUAGGCGGUUUAUUAAGUUGCAUGUGAAAUCCCAGAGCUCAACUCUGGACCUGCAUGCAAAACUGGUAGACUUGAGUAUGGCAGAGGUAAGUGGAAUUCCUAGUGUAGCGGUGGAAUGCGUAGAUAUUAGGAGGAACACCAGUGGCGAAGGCGACUUACUGGGCCAAAACUGACGCUGAGGCGCGAAAGCGUGGGGAGCAAACAGGAUUAGAUACCCCAGUAGUC